GACAGAGGAUGCAAGCGUUAUCCGGAAUGAUUGGGCGUAAAGCGUCCGCAGGUGGCUGUGUAAGUCUGCUGUUAAAGAGUCUAGCUCAACUAGAUAAAAGCAGUGGAAACUACACGGCUAGAGUACGUUCGGGGCAGAGGGAAUUCCUGGUGUAGCGGUGAAAUGCGUAGAGAUCAGGAAGAACACCGGUGGCGAAGGCGCUCUGCUAGGCCGUAACUGACACUGAGGGACGAAAGCUAGGGGAGCGAAUGGG
rnacentral:rRNA from 1 species